GUUUGGGUUCUGUGAGGCACUGAGACUGAGGGAAAUUAAAGUGUGUAGCUACCGUGUCCCUCUCUCCUAACAAGAUCCAGGUGCGCUCUUAUACAGUCAGUGCUCUGGCUUUACACACACACACAGACACACACUGACACACACACUUUUGAGUGGCACUGACUGUACUGAGGACUGCGUGGUGUUCCAGUAAUGAGAUAUGUUUGUAGCUGAAGUGUUAAAAGUUUCUCAAGGCUGCUGAAGAGGGACCACCACCUUGGUGCUAAACUGCCACUCAUUUCACGAACACUUGGUACAAUGCCUGGGUGUCACACUGAAUACAGGCCGAAUAAAGACACUGAACAAACAUAACAUUGCGCUGACCCCAAACACAACCAUCUACGUCCCCUUGGGCACAUUUCGCUGCAAGUUGUUGGUCACGCUCCAGCCCCAAAGUGCAGUUCACAAGACUGUUGUCUUUCAUCAUCAUCUCCACGGCAACCCUGCUCUAAGUCACCGUGACAACGAAAGCCACCUGGGUCUGCGACACUUGCUACCUCCUCUGAGCUCGCCAUUCAAUCACAUGAUGUCUGCUCUUUAUAACUCUAUUACACAUGCUCUCUAAUCGACCUCCCUGCUCUGUCCAUCACACCAUCACUGACACACCCGCCAUAAAUCUCUCUUUACUGUUCCUAUGUUCUGCAUUAUGUGACGGUUAGCCUGAUUAUCCUGCCUGGAGCCUUUGGAGGGAAGUAGCUGGGGGGCCCUGCUGAAAUUUCUGGACAGUCCAGUGCCUGGGCAUCAGUGUAGACAAGUUCACAAGUGCACACUGGGAAAACCACAAGGCUUCCUAUUUUAAUUUUUUAGCCCAAUCAGUACUCCUUAAAGAGAUUAUCUCACUCUCAUGACAAUUGUGUACUUUUAACAAAAACACGUAUCAUCAAAAAUGAGGAUGGGCAAUUUUUAGCAGCUUUAAUUUGACACUGAACAUUUAAAUCCCCCCAAAAUGUCUUGAUUUCUCCAAAACAGAUAUUAAGUUCAGUACUAAAACCAUAAGUACAGGUGAUAAUGAACUGGUUGAUGUGUAGUUUUACAUCAUCUAGUAACAUAACCUACAUUUUUCUUUUUUUUUUAAUAUGACAAAACUAAAGCAUGUGGGGUCCCAUAGAAUGUAGUUCAUCAACUAGACUGGAAGUGAACAGAUACUGAAUUCAUAGAGGUUUAGAGAGCUAGAUAAAUGGCAAUAAGGACUGUAUUUCAAAUUGCAACCUUGCAAAUACUUCAAUUUUCAUAUACCCCAGCACCUAUCUGAUUCUGAUAUUGAUAAAGUUCUCUGCUGCCCUCGUGUGGCUACAUAUAAACUUCCACAUGAACAGCCUUGCAUUCACAUUGAUGCCAUCAUAUCACCUAGUCCGUACUAAAUUACAGAACCAUGUUAUACACUUUUUAGGUAGGCGCUUUACAAGUUGUGCACAGACCACUGUUAUAUAAAAGUUUCCAAGUUUGCAUGGUGUUGCAUACAGAGUAAGUUGAAACAGUUCUCUAUAUGGUGUAGUCCUGUUUUUCCUUCAACUAUAUCAAACAGGAUGAAGCUGGUUAUUGGCAAUGUUGCAAUGUAAAGCCAUUCAACGAAGGUUUUUCAGACCCACAUGCCUUUCAGAUCUAUAAAGCAAAUCGUACUGAGCGAGUCCUAUAAUCAUUAGGCACAAAAUACCAGAAAAUUCUGUCUUUCUAGGUAACUUCUUUAAAAGACUAGCUACCCAUCACACAACCUAUAUCGGGGGGUUUUGUGUCUACUACCACACUUACUGAAACACAUUUUCUGGAUUGUUAAAUCAGUGGAUUCCGCUUUUUCUUUAAAAUAUAUACACAUUUAUGUCUAAACUGUACAACCCAUUCAUUACAUUUGAUGGACAACUACACAGUGUCAAAGGGAAAUUCAUUUGUUAGGAAUCUCAUGAAAAAAUUUCUCUAGUAGAACGGUUUAGAUAGAAGUAAGAUGUUUCUUUAUUAGUCCCACAGGGGGCAAUUCCAUACAAUACAGACUACAAACAUACAGACUAAUGGGUAAAGAAACAGCUAAGACUAACUCCAUGAGUUAGCAUGCAGCAGUACAUCUUAUCAUCAAGAUGUGAAGAAUGAACUAUGCCAACAUAGAAGAAUAAAAACAAAUGAAAUGCCUCACCUGUAAACUUUGUGUAAUUGAUAGGCCGCAAUGGAGACUGCAGCAACCAGGUCAACUCCAUUAGACAGGCCCUCAGCUUCUUCAGCUUCAUUGUGGUCUCAACGUGGAGAACUCACAAUAAUUCAGUGGGUCUGUGCAUCUGUAGAAAUGACAGAGAAACUUCUGUUAUGAAAAACUUUAACCACGAGCCUCGUAAGUGAAAGAAACUCAACAGUUUUAUUGGCCAGGCCUCUUGUAUGAGAAAGCUAGCUCCACUGCUGCAGGUAGGCUAGCCAAGAAUCAGUGGUUUUGGACUUAUCCGGCGGUAUUUAAUGGUUUAUCUUCAUCUGGGCUGUGAUAGUCCCUCACUAUUUAUACACAGAAGAUUUGACACGGUUUCUCUGUUUGUGGAAUGGUUUUACAACUCUAGUUAAAAUGUCUCGACUCGACAUUAUGACUGAAGUCGUACCGGUAGGCCUACCGCGUGUUCAAGGCCUUUGUACAUGGUCCGUGAAAUAUCCUCACGGUUUUGACUCCACUCAGUGUGGAAAGCGAACGCACCAGCUCGCAAUCCAUUAUACCGUAUAACCAGUAGUCGAGUUGAGGGGGGGUCAGGGGGGAUGGCAUCCCCCUGGAAUGAAAAUAUUAAAAAUUGUUCCCCUUCCAAAACGGCCAUCCCAACUUUCCAUCCCUUGAGCCAUUUUUGUUAAUGAAUGUGGAAAUAUUACUACUAUUUUAACUUUAGAAAUAUUACGGCAAUUUCACAGUAUGGAGGGUCAAAGUGGUCACAUGAUGCAAGAAAAAUUAAUUCCCUUGUUGCAUGCCAUGAGUCCCUAAAAAAAUAAUGCUCCACUGAAUUGUGUAAAAACUUAGUUAAAAUGGCAAAAAAAAAGGUGAGGCGGCAUCUGUGAAAAUGACACAUAUUUUCCUUUUUCUAAAAAGACGACAUCAGUGAGCAGUGCUGGUGAGGCUGUUGUGAUUUUAGUAUCAUGGCCAAACGACAUCUCAAUCUGAGCGUUUAUGUAAUAUAAUAAUUAUCUUUGUCCUUAAGUAACAAUAAAAUGGGUAGACAGUUUGUUUCCCACCAUGUGCACUGUCAUCAGAACAAAAUAUCUGUCCCAAACAAUAAAAUCCAACUCGAA